CCUACGGGAGGCUGCAGUGGGGAAUAUUGCGCAAUGGGCGAAAGCCUGACGCAGCGACGCCGCGUGAGGGACGACGGCCUUCGGGUUGUAAACCUCUUUCAGCAGGGACGAAGCGAAAGUGACGGUACCUGCAGAAGAAGCACCGGCUAACUACGUGCCAGCAGCCGCGGUAAUACGUAGGGUGCAAGCGUUGUCCGGAUUUAUUGGGCGUAAAGAGCUCGUAGGCGGUCUGUCGCGUCGGAUGUGAAAACCCGGGGCUCAACUCCGGGCCUGCAUCCGAUACGGGCAGACUAGAGUGUGGUAGGGGAGACUGGAAUUCCUGGUGUAGCGGUGAAAUGCGCAGAUAUCAGGAGGAACACCGAUGGCGAAGGCAGGUCUCUGGGCCAUUACUGACGCUGAGGAGCGAAAGCGUGGGGAGCAAACAGGAUUAGAUACCCGGGUAGUC
rnacentral:rRNA from 1 species